AAGCUUAGUGGCGGACGGGUGAGUAACGCGUGAGCAACCUGCCCUCGAGUGGGGAAUAACAUCGAGAAAUCGGUGCUAAUACCGCAUAAAGUCGAGAGACCGCAUGAUCUUUCGACCAAAGGAUUUAUUCGCUUGAGGAUGGGCUCGCGUCCGAUUAGCUAGUUGGUGAGGUAACGGCCCACCAAGGCAACGAUCGGUAGCCGAACUGAGAGGUUGAUCGGCCACAUUGGGACUGAGACACGGCCCAGACUCCUACGGGAGGCAGCAGUGGGGAAUAUUGGGCAAUGGGCGAAAGCCCUGACCCAGCAACGCCGCGUGAAGGAUGAAGGUCUUCGGAUUGUAAACUUCUUUGAUUGGGGAAGAAUAAAAUGACCUACCCAAAGAACAAGCCACGGCUAACUACGUGCCAGCCGCCGC
rnacentral:rRNA from 1 species